GCCGGCUGGAGACGGCUUCCGGUUCCAACUCCAGGCCUCACCAGCUGGCGCGUGGAGCGGUCGGAUACCCAGUGCCAGGGCCCGUUUAGACGGCUGGUUUAACGAAUUGGCCUAAAAUGAAUUUUGAGUUAGAGCUUUUGAACACUACGGUUGCACACAUAAAGCUCACUUCACACCCCACCCCACCCCCGCAAGUCCUUCAUGGCCACUAAUCCGUCUUUAUGAUACUUAUGUUGGGUGAACUUGGAGAUGGAAACUUUGUAGUUCUUGGUGACAACUGGAAAAGGUAAAUCUACCCUAUACUUUUUGAGACUUUGAUUUCAUUUAAAUAAAUUAAUCCCC
rnacentral:lncRNA from 1 species